rnacentral:rRNA from 1 species
UACGUAGGGGGCAAGCGUUGUCCGGAUUUACUGGGCGUAAAGCGCGUGUAGGCGGCUACGCAGGUCCGUUGUGAAAACUGGAGGCUCAACCUCCAGACGUCGACGGAAACCGUGUGGCUAGAGUCCGGAAGAGGAGAGUGGAAUUCCUGGUGUAGCGGUGAAAUGCGCAGAUAUCAGGAAGAACACCAAUGGCGAAAGCAGCUCUCUGGGACGGUACUGACGCUGAGACGCGAAAGCGUGGGGAGCGAACAGG